CUCAAUUCCAUUCAGGUUCCUUUUGAGUCUGCAGUUAAGCAAGUGCUGGAACAGCUAAGAAAAAUUGCUAAGGGUGAAUACACAACACCAAUUAUUGAGAGGAGGAAACUUGGAACAAUUGUUUUUGCUGCUAUCGAUUUGCCAGUUGCAGAAAUCUGUAGUUCCCUCAACAAUGUAAGCAAAAGAUGUUGCAUUCUUAUUUUCAUCCAAGUUACUAGGG
rnacentral:misc_RNA from 1 species